rnacentral:snRNA from 1 species
GGAUGUGAGGGCCAUCUGGCUGUGACAUCUGUCACCCCAUUGAUCACCAGGGUUGAUUCGGCUGAGCUGGCUGGCUAGGCAGGUGUCCCCUUCCUCCCUCACCACUCUACAUGCGUCCCUCCUGAAGCUGCACGCUCAGUCGAAGAGGAUGGCCUUCCCCUCUAGAUCAGGACUGGUCUUUAGUCAAGGGUAUACGAGUAGCUGCACUCCCCUGCUAGAACCUCCAAACAAGCUCUCAAGAUUUAUUUAUUUAUUUGAAAGGCAGAGUUACAGAAAGGCAGAGGCAG